GACGAAAAGGGCUAGCGUUAUUCAACAUGAUUGGGUGUAAAGGGUUCGUAUACGGUAAUUUAAAUUAAAAAGUAAAAUUUUAAAAUUCCAUUUUAAAAAAUUUUUUAAAACUGUUUUACUUGGGUUUUAUUCAAAAAAGCAGAAUUGUGUAAGUAAAGGUCAAAUUUUUAGAUAUGCACAGGAAUACCAACUGCGAAGGCAGCUUUUUAGAAAAAACCGACGUACAGGAACGAAGGUUUGGGUAGCAAACGGG
rnacentral:rRNA from 1 species